AAUGCCACUUUUCUAACCAUCUAACUAUUCGUAAAAAAGUUCUUAUAACUUGUUCGUGCAUAACUCAAAUUUAAAAAAAAAAAAUGGAGCAGAAAACAAUGUACAUAAGCUGCCACAUGACAAGAAGAUUAGUCUAGCACCUUCCCAAUUUUAUAAGAGAACACGCUACACUAUAAAAAUUUGCAUUUUCUGUAAGCAUGACCAUGCACCAAAACUUACCAGGUAAUAUAUGAAGUUUAGAAUUGGAUGAUCCAAAACAUCAAGAUCUGCAGCUUUAUCAAAUGCAUUGAAGCACAUCUGGAGAAUAGGAAAAUGACAAUACAAGCCAAUGUCAAAUGAACAUCAGAAUGAUAAAGACCUCAGAAACAUAGCAACUGCCAAAUGAGUAAAUUGAAUUAACCAACAGCCAAAUUAUUGUUAAUGAAUUAGGUGAUAGUUCUGCAAAAACUUAUGGCUUUUAAGUAAUCAUUUAGCUAACCCCCCUAACUUUAAUAAGGCUUCAUCAAAAUUUUGCAAGCGAAGAAGAGAAAAAGAAACACCAAUAAACUCACCAUAAUGCAUCUGACUAGGAAGCAUGAGAAACAUAUGGUGGUCACAUAGCCAACCUGAACAAAAGAAUAGCAGAAACAACACUUGGUAACUGACAAAAGAGUAAACAGAUUAGUAUAAAAGGUCUUAUACUUCGAAAUAAAUACCUCUUGCAACUUCUUACGCCUCCCUUUAGAUUCUACAGGGAACCGCUGCAACAUCAAGAAGAGCCUACCAAAAGAUGAAGCUGAGAUAUUUGCGUGCCAGAUUUAAUAUAUCGAAAAAUCAUCUAACUAUUAGAGCCCAGUGAAGAUGCCAAUGCAUACAGUUAUCAGAAGAAUACAGAUAACUGAACAAUCGGAAGGUAAUACAACACAUUCUCCUCAAAUUUUUCAAAAAUGACACCAAGGGCCUAGUGCUUCAUCUUAGCAUAACCCACAUACAACACAACCAUGCUGAGAGACUAAAGAAACCACAUUGUUGGCAAACCUUAACCCUGAGUAAGACAAUUUAUGAAUGCACUUGUAUUGCGAGGACCCGAAUGAAAAGGAUUAUAUCAUAUUAUAUGCGAGUCAGAUACUCUUGCUAGCCUCAUUGGACCUGAUCCAACCAUUUUCAUGUUUUCUUGCUUUCUAUCUUGAGUUUUUCCCCCUUCUGCUGUAAUAGAGGAGAUGGUAGAAAGUAGAGAGGGAAGUAAUGGGCUAAACAACAAGUGUCUAAGUUCCCAACAACCCAAUUGAAGCUGACUGAAGUAGUGAAAAAUAUGAAGAGAUGCCUUGGGACUACUACAGUAAGCAACAAUUAAAGCCUUUAAAAAAACUCAGCUGAACUCGCUUUUGUAGAGGCAAUUCUUAUCAGAUCAAACUCAAAUGCACUUGGCAUAUACAACAACCGGGAAUUUGUCUCAUAGGCAAGGAAGAAAUCAAAAUACCUUUUUACUAAGCAAACAAAUAAGUUAUGUAGAACACAAUAGAACACUGUCAAUCAUGAAAAGAUCAAUCUGAUUACAUAGAGGAUAUACGUAUUCAUAGUAGAAUUAUGAAUCCUACUAGUACUAGGAUUUAGAAUCCCAAACAAGAAAAAAAUAAUCAAAUACUAGUUAGAAAUCACAAACCACCUCAAGCUUCCUAAAUAAUAAUAGAAUUCUUAAACUUCCCAACACUGAAAAAUUCUAAAUUAAAGAUCUUACUUUUACAAUCAAAAUUAAAUAAAAAUAAUUCCUAAAUUGAAUCUUCCUUGAUAGCAUCAUUCUCUCCUUGUUGGAGAAAACUCAACCUCGAGACGUACAACCUUUUCUUCUUGGAUGAUAAUAAGAUUGAAACAAAGAACUUCAUGUUUUCGUUCACAUCCCUAAAAAAUCUGAACCAGUCACAACAACUGAAGCUGAAAGACUGUUCAAUUCACUUGGAACAGGAGAAUUAGAUAAAUCCUCAAUUUGCAUUGUCAUCUCAAUGGUCUAUUUUUCUUCUUUCCCUAGGAUCAAAUCUUCAAACUCUUGCUCAUUCUCUUCAGCUUCUUUCACUAGAAUAUAUUUCUCAAAAUUUUCCAACUCAAUCUUAUCAUGUCGGAUUUCAACAUGUGAAGGCUCAAAAAUCAAUGCUUUGGAUCUUCAAGCUUUUCAUUAUCAAAUUCUUGCUUUGCGUCCUUUCGAGUUGUAACUAUACCAGUAUAUCCUCAAGAACUCUUGAUAGCUUAAGCUCCGCUUUUAACCCAGCCAAAGUUUCAAGAUGUUCCUUAUCUUUUCCUUGAGAUUUUUAUUCAAUUUGAACAUUUGAUCAAGCAUCAUAAGUCCAAUAGUUAGAACUUAUUUAGAACUUAUUUGUGGCUGAAUAAAAGAAGUUUUCCAAUAUGCUUGUUAAAACAUAUAGUCCUUUCAUGCUUCAAGUUUAUCUUUCUAGCUCAUAGUUGAAUCAUAUAUUCCUUCUUCCAUGCUUCAAGUUCUCUCUCCCUAACUCAUUAAAGUUGUUUGAAGGUUCGAUAUUCAUAAAAUAAAUCAUGACAAUAUACAACACCAUCAAAUGAAUCCCUUAAAUAACAUAUCUCAGCUAGUUGUACCUUGUAGUUAAUAAUUUCAAUUUGUAAUCUUUGCCCACAUGGAUAUGUUGUAGUCAUCAAUUUCAGUUUGCAAUUUUGAAUGUCAGCUCACAUAGAAUCUGACCAAGAACAUAAUUCAAACCUCGUGCUAGCUUUAAAUAUUUGAUUCUGCCCAAAACAGACGUAAAAUUGGAACAAGGAUGUCAAAAAUAGUGGGGAAGGAUUCUGCCAAAAAUUUGCUAAGGUGGCCUUGAUGAGGUAUGGACAUGCACGCUGAACAACAACAUGAACUUAAGUUGGUUUCCAAGUGGAUCAGACCAGACCCAACACUGGACGGCACAUGGGUGGCUCAACAAAAGUUCCAUCAAGUAGGAAACACCAAUGGACGUGCAGCAAGUCUCCAGCGAUGUUUGCGACACUGAAAUCAGGCUGAAAAGUGGUACGGGUCAAAAGCCAACCCGUACAGAUCUUGCUGUACAGAUGUUGAACAUGAGUUCCGACAAUGGGAAUGAUGUCGCCAGCAGACAGCAAGACCCAGAUAAGCUUUAAACACAGGAUUUUGUUGCAUUCUGAUCAGGUCGCAAUUCAAAUCGAAAUCUGAUCCCAAUCAGAUCUCAAUUUUCCCUGGUGGUCGGACUUGCUUCGAGAGGAUUGCUGGGUGCUAGAAAAGGAUUUGGCAAUGAAGUUGAGAUGGUUUGAUGGCUAGGCAGUGGUUGUUAUGGUUAAAAGUAGGCUAUGUUGGUGAGAGACCCAGCAGUGCAUAGAAGGGGGAAAAGUGCAAAGGACAGUGACAAGGCAAAAGGAGACGCAAUGGCAGUGGUACCCAUCCAUUUGUUGCUUCUUGUGGCCACAUAAAAUCUAAAGAAAUCCUUUUUUAUCUUGAGUAAUUAAAGAAACCUAUGUUCUUAACUCCUUCAGUUGCUUAAAAAUUCCUGCUGAUUUCCGACAUGCCCUGUAUUAGAUUUUUUAUUAGAGCUUCUCCUGUAUUAGAUUUUGUAUUAGAACUUCUGCUGCAUUAAUUGUUGAAUAACCAGUUUAAAAUAACAGAUAAAAGGUGCACAAUAUUACAAUAA